CUUUGGGACUGAGACGUGACAUGCUGGGAACACAGGGAGAUCCGUAAAGCAGAAGGCAUUUCCUCUCAGCCUGGAGGGAUGGAGGCAAAGCAGAGGUCGGUGAGCAGUGACGGUCAUGGUGGCCACUAAGGGACAGUGCAGAGGGAUUGGCCAGGGCCAUGCCUUAGUGAGCUUUAAGACGUCUCAGCUUGUGUGAGACUCUGGCCAAGCACAAGCCUAAAUCUGAGGCACGUGGUAGGUAUCAACCUCACUCACUGCCAUUGUAACUGGGAGAAGAAUACAAAGGAAAUCAAGAGAAUCCAGUGUCCAGGGAGUCCUAAUUAGAUAGAUUUUGUUCCAACUGGGAGGAUGAGGACAGGCAUGGUAUGAGGGACUUGGUUGGAGUGGCAGGUGGGCGGGACCAAGAAAGUCUUCUGGUGGUGACCAGCCUACCCAGCGGAGGCCACUGUGUCUCUUUGGUCUGUUAUCCUGUGGCGGGAUCUCACCGGGUUCAGGCGUGGUCCUCCACAGUGUCUAGAUGGUGUGUUUGCUGCUGCUUGGUGAGGAAGCUCAGAUGGUCUGCAGUGUGUAAGUGUUGGGGAUUUAUAAUAGUUGCCAUUCUGACCAGAGUGAGAGGAGAUCUUAGAGUGGUUUUGAUUUGCAUUUCUCUAAUUGCUAGUGAUGGUGAACACUUUUUUCAUAUAUUUGUUGAUUGAUUGUACAUCAUCUUCUGAGAAGUGUCUGUUUCAGGUCCUUGGCCUAUUUAUUGACUGGGUUAUUUGUUUUUUGUGUGUGUUUAGCUUUUUGAGUUAUUUAUAUACCCUAGAGAUUAGUGCUCUAUCUGAUAUGUGAGGGGUCAGAAUGGCAGCUAUUAUGAAUACAAACAACAAUAAGUGUUGGCAAGGAUGUGGGGGAAAAGGUACACUCAUACAUUGCUGGUGGGGCUGCAAACUGGUGCAGCCAAUAUGGAAAGCAGUAUGGAGAUUCCUUGGAAAACUCGGAAUGGAACCACUAUUUGACCCAGCUAUACCCAAAGGACUUAAACCAGCAUACUACAGGGACACAGCCACAUCAAUGUUUAUAGCAGCAUAAUUCACAAUAGCUAAACUGUGGAGCCAACCUAGUUGCCCUUCAAUAGAUGAAUGGAUAAAAAAAUGUGGCAUAUGUACAUAAUGGAAUAUUACUCAGCAAUAAAAGAGAAUAAAAUCAUGGCAUUUGCAGGUAAAUGGAUGGAGUUAGAGAAGAUAAUGCUAAGCGAAGUUAGCCAAUCCCAAAAAAACAAAUGCUGAAUGUUUUCUCUGAUAUAAGGAAGCUGAUUCAUAGUGG
rnacentral:lncRNA from 1 species